GGGUUGUGAGGUUAAGCGACUAAGCGUACACGGUGGAUGCCCUGGCAGUCAGAGGCGAUGAAGGACGUGCUAAUCUGCGAUAAGCGUCGGUAAGGUGAUAUGAACCGUUAUAACCGGCGAUUUCCGAAUGGGGAAACCCAGUGUGAUUCGUCACACUAUCAUUAACUGAAUCCAUAGGUUAAUGAGGCGAACCGGGGGAACUGAAACAUCUAAGUACCCCGAGGAAAAGAAAUCAACCGAGAUUCCCCCAGUAGCGGCGAGCGAACGGGGAGCAGCCCAGAGCCUGAAUCAGUGUGUGUGUUAGUGGAAGCGUCUGGAAAGGCGCGCGAUACAGGGUGACAGCCCCGUACACAAAAAUGCACAUGCUGUGAGCUCGAUGAGUAGGGCGGGACACGUGGUAUCCUGUCUGAAUAUGGGGGGACCAUCCUCCAAGGCUAAAUACUCCUGACUGACCGAUAGUGAACCAGUACCGUGAGGGAAAGGCGAAAAGAACCCCGGCGAGGGGAGUGAAAAAGAACCUGAAACCGUGUACGUACAAGCAGUGGGAGCACGCUUCGGCGUGUGACUGCGUACCUUUUGUAUAAUGGGUCAGCGACUUAUAUUCUGUAGCAAGGUUAACCGAAUAGGGGAGCCGAAGGGAAACCGAGUCUUAACUGGGCGUUAAGUUGCAGGGUAUAGACCCGAAACCCGGUGAUCUAGCCAUGGGCAGGUUGAAGGUUGGGUAACACUAACUGGAGGACCGAACCGACUAAUGUUGAAAAAUUAGCGGAUGACUUGUGGCUGGGGGUGAAAGGCCAAUCAAACCGGGAGAUAGCUGGUUCUCCCCGAAAGCUAUUUAGGUAGCGCCUCGUGAAUUCAUCUCCGGGGGUAGAGCACUGUUUCGGCAAGGGGGUCAUCCCGACUUACCAACCCGAUGCAAACUGCGAAUACCGGAGAAUGUUAUCACGGGAGACACACGGCGGGUGCUAACGUCCGUCGUGAAGAGGGAAACAACCCAGACCGCCAGCUAAGGUCCCAAAGUCAUGGUUAAGUGGGAAACGAUGUGGGAAGGCCCAGACAGCCAGGAUGUUGGCUUAGAAGCAGCCAUCAUUUAAAGAAAGCGUAAUAGCUCACUGGUCGAGUCGGCCUGCGCGGAAGAUGUAACGGGGCUAAACCAUGCACCGAAGCUGCGGCAGCGACACUAUGUGUUGUUGGGUAGGGGAGCGUUCUGUAAGCCUGUGAAGGUGUACUGUGAGGUAUGCUGGAGGUAUCAGAAGUGCGAAUGCUGACAUAAGUAACGAUAAAGCGGGUGAAAAGCCCGCUCGCCGGAAGACCAAGGGUUCCUGUCCAACGUUAAUCGGGGCAGGGUGAGUCGACCCCUAAGGCGAGGCCGAAAGGCGUAGUCGAUGGGAAACAGGUUAAUAUUCCUGUACUUGGUGUUACUGCGAAGGGGGGACGGAGAAGGCUAUGUUGGCCGGGCGACGGUUGUCCCGGUUUAAGCGUGUAGGCUGGUUUUCCAGGCAAAUCCGGAAAAUCAAGGCUGAGGCGUGAUGACGAGGCACUACGGUGCUGAAGCAACAAAUGCCCUGCUUCCAGGAAAAGCCUCUAAGCAUCAGGUAACAUCAAAUCGUACCCCAAACCGACACAGGUGGUCAGGUAGAGAAUACCAAGGCGCUUGAGAGAACUCGGGUGAAGGAACUAGGCAAAAUGGUGCCGUAACUUCGGGAGAAGGCACGCUGAUAUGUAGGUGAAGCGACUUGCUCGUGGAGCUGAAAUCAGUCGAAGAUACCAGCUGGCUGCAACUGUUUAUUAAAAACACAGCACUGUGCAAACACGAAAGUGGACGUAUACGGUGUGACGCCUGCCCGGUGCCGGAA
rnacentral:rRNA from 1 species